rnacentral:rRNA from 1 species
UCAACCAUAGUGUGCUNUGGAAACUGUCUGACUUGAGUGCAGAAGGGGAGAGUGGAAUUCCAUGUGUAGCGGUGAAAUGCGUAGAUAUAUGGAGGAACACCAGUGGCGAAAGCGGCUCUCUGNUCUGUCACUGACGCUGAGGCUCGAAAGCGUGGGUAGCGAACAGGAUUAGAUACCCUGGUAGUNCACGCCGUAAACGAUGAGUGCUAGGUGUUAGGCCCUUUCCGGGGCUUAGUGCCGGAGCUAACGCAAUAAGCACUCCGCCUGGGGAAUACGACCGCAAGGUUGAAGCUCAAAGGAAUUGACGGGGGCCCGCACAAGCGGUGGAGCAUGUGGUUUAAUUCGAAGCAACGCGAAGAACCUUACCAGGUCUUGACAUCCCGAUGCUAUUCUUAGAGAUAGGAAGUUACUUCGGUACAUCGGAGACAGGUGGUGCAUGGUUGUCGUCAGCUCGUGUCGUGAGAUGUUGGGUUAAGUCCCGCAACGAGCGCAACCCUUAUUGUUAGUUGCCAUCAUUAAGUUGGGCACUCUAGCGAGACUGCCGGUAAUAAACCGGAGGAAGGUGGGGAUGACGUCAAAUCAUCAUGCCCCUUAUGACCUGGGCUACACACGUGCUACAAUGGUCGGUACAACGAGUUGCGAGCCGGUGACGGCAAGCUAAUCUCUGAAAGCCGAUCUCAGUUCGGAUUGGAGGCUGCAACUCGCCUCCAUGAAGUCGGAAUCGCUAGUAAUCGCGGAUCAGCACGCCGCGGUGGAUACGUUCCCGGGCCUUGUACACACCGCCCGUCACACCACGAGAGCUUGUAACACCCGAAGUCGGUGAGGUANCCUUUUAGGGGCCAGCCGCCUAAG